rnacentral:rRNA from 1 species
GACGAACGCUGGCGGCGUGCUUAACACAUGCAAGUCGAACGGAAAGGCCCUGCUUUUGUGGGGUGCUCGAGUGGCGAACGGGUGAGUAACACGUGAGUAACCUGCCCUUGACUUUGGGAUAAGUUCAGGAAACUGGGGCUAAUACCGGAUAGGAGCUCCUGCUGCAUGGUGGGGGUUGGAAAGUUUCGGCGGUUGGGGAUGGACUCGCGGCUUAUCAGCUUGUUGGUGGGGUAGUGGCUUACCAAGGCUUUGACGGGUAGCCGGCCUGAGAGGGGGACCGGCCACAUUGGGACUGAGAUACGGCCCAGACUCCUACGGGAGGCAGCAGUGGGGAAUAUUGCACAAUGGGCGGAAGCCUGAUGCAGCAACGCCGCGUGCGGGAUGACGGCCUUCGGGUUGUAAACCGCUUUCGCCUGUGACGAAGCGUGAGUGACGGUAAUGGGUAAAGAAGCACCGGCUAACUACGUG